GAUGAACGCUGACAGAAUGCUUAACACAUGCAAGUCUACUUGAAUUUGGGUUUUUUAACUUAGAUUUGGGUGGCGGACGGGUGAGUAACGCGUAAAGAACUUGCCUCACAGCUAGGGACAACAUUUGGAAACGAAUGCUAAUACCUGAUAUUAUGAUUAUAAGGCAUCUUAGAAUUAUGAAAGCUAUAUGCGCUGUGAGAGAGCUUUGCGUCCCAUUAGCUAGUUGGAGAGGUAACGGCUCACCAAGGCGAUGAUGGGUAGCCGGCCUGAGAGGGUGAACGGCCACAAGGGGACUGAGACACGGCCCUUACUCCUACGGGAGGCAGCAGUGGGGAAUAUUGGACAAUGGACCAAGAGUCUGGUCCAGCAAUUCUGUGUGCACGAUGACGUUUUUCGGAAUGUAAAGUGCUUUCAGUUGGGAAGAAAAAAAUGACGGUACCAACAGAAGAAGAGACGGCUAAAUACGUG
rnacentral:rRNA from 1 species